AUGCGAUAAGUAAUGUGAAUUGCAGAAUUCAGUGAAUCAUCGAAUCUUUGAACGCACCUUGCGCUCCUUGGUAUUCCGAGGAGCAUGCCUGUUUGAGUGUCAUGAAACCCUCAAACCCAAGUUUUGGAUUUCGAUCCAUGCUUGAGUUUGGAUUUGGAUGUUUGCCGGUGAUGAACCGACUCAUCUUAAAAGUAUUAGCUUGGAUCUGUCUAUAUGACUGGUUUGACUUGGCAUAAUAAGUAUUUUGCUGAGGACAUCUUCGGAUGGCCAGGACCUAGACUACUGUCUGCUAACUAAACCAUCACUUUAAGUGCAUCUUUGGAUGUUACUCAUUGUGUAACUUUGACAUCUGGCCUCAAAUCAAGUAGGACUACCCGCUGAACUUAA
rnacentral:misc_RNA from 1 species